GGCAGUAUUUUUCUGAUCCUUUAGCCCAGGGUGUCAAACUCAUUUUAGUUCAAGGGCCAGAUACAGUCCAAUAUAAUCUCAAACGGGCCAUACCAAUAAAAUAAUAACAGUAAAAAAAA